UUCGUUCUUCCUUCUUUUUUUGCAUCUCCUGCACGUACGAGGGAGCGAGAGCAAUUGGGAGGAGACGGAAUUGCGCGGACUUUUGUGUUGUCUUUUGAACGUACUGAUUGAAAAACCCAAAAUGACACGA
rnacentral:misc_RNA from 1 species